CCCGCCAUGUGCAACGAUCGUCUCUUCGGUAAAGAGUAUCUGCAUCUUUGUGCCCAUCGCCCCUUGUAUACCUUUGAUCGUGGCAAGUUUUAUCAUGUCUGGCUGCGGAAACUCCAACUGCCCCUGUGGCAGCGACUGCUCGUGCGGCUCCGGCUGCUCGUUAGUUUAGCCUCCGUGCAUUUUGCUUUCGAUUUCAUCCAUUCCUCUUCCUAAAGUCGAAGUGCCGAUUUGGCCGAUUUGGAGGUCUUCCUAGUUCCUCGUCAUGAAGUUGGAGCCUGUGCUGGUGCCGCGAAAAGUGCAAGACAGAUUUGAUUGUAUUUAGAGCAUGCAAGUCUGUUAGUUCUUUUUGGAGUUUAGUUCGGGUUCUUUUGAGUUUGAAGACGGAAUUAUGACCAGAAUCUCGAUCGAUGGAAGUAUGAUUGUGUACUCUAGAGUCUUCGAUUUUCAUAAUCUGCCGUUAUCUACUGCAAAUGAAAGGCAGCGCUUCACGUAUUGUGAAGUACUGAUCCUCUUGAUCUUCCUCUUGUGAUGUGUGAUGGUCGCUGGAAAUGUUUUGGUUGUUAGUUAAAGAAUCAAGUAUUUCGUUGCAGCCUGUGUAUUCAACCAUGCGAAUACAUUCUCGGGUUUAACGAUUGACGUUAAUUAUCUGGUAAAUUGCACGUGCGAAACAGUACAACUGAGGGGGCUGUUAAGUAGUUAAAUUUUGGUUGCAGUCGCCGACCAAGUUGGACUUGCUCUUCGUUGUCGAGAAGGUUGCUGUAUAUGUAGACUAAUGUUCCUUUAUAGCCUCAUGGACUGAACCUGAGGGAGAGACAGUAACUUUUUCCCAUACUGCACCGUAAUAGAAACUGAGAACAAAUUAGCGGAAAUAUCUAUCAUUUUUACUUCUCGAUGAAGUCGAAUAGCUUGUUGCUCUGGAGAAGUCUCAGACAUGUCGUUAGUACAUAUAUUUGAGGUUCUGGAGCAAGACCUGUCUUGAAUAUGUUGUAUGAUGAUCUAUUUGAUUUUUACAUUCAACCGCACUUGCAUACUUUUCAAUUGCGGCAUUGUUUCUGACCUUGAGUUUGGUAUCUAUUACAGGUGCAGUAGGAGCAUGACCGAGCCAACUUUCGGUGGUCUCCGCAACUACAACGCAGAGAACGAGUGCAAGCUGCAACUGCGCUGACUGCCAGUUUCAUAACUGAACACUGUGCAUGGAUAUCUCAUGUGAUUGCGAAGACCAUCAUGAAGACGACUUCAUACACAUCCUGGCUUUCACAUUUCGGUAGAUAGUGCGGGUGCUUUGUUAGUUUACUUGCACUAUCACUGGAUUGUUUAAGCAUGGGCAGGAUGAGAGAAUAAUUCGUUUGGAGUUUGUGUGAUCUGGAAACUUUAACAUUUUUUUAGUACGACAAGUCUUCUGGUGGUUGAUUUCAUUGUUAUUGUUCAGUGACAUGCCAUUUGAUA